CGCGAGACAGAUCACUUCAGCGCGAGUAAUAAAAAAGUAUUAGCGAGCUUAUCGUGAGAACAGUAAAGUUUCGAUUCCGCCUCGUGAAGAUUAGUUAAAGUGGUGACCCCGAAGAACAGCAUCCUUGGGAACUCCAGCAUCAGCGAUCCCAAAUAAAUCGUUCCCACCAGUUGCUCCGCAACAAACAACAAAGAAAGGAUCGCAGUGUUAUCCCAAAAUCUCGAUCUUCAGCCCGGUGCGCGUAGCACAUUCAACGGAUUGGCACUUUUCUCGCCCGAAAACGAGUCUUGCUUUCGCUGCGUUGCUACAACGUCGGGGAUAGUACGAAAACAUUUCGCUCAGUCAUCGCAUCGCGAGCUAAUCACCCAGCGCGCACAAGUAGAGCCGAGCGCGCCCACGGCUCGAGCUGUCUAAGUGCCACCGGCGGACAUUUUCGUCGCCCUUUCCUCGUUGCUCGGCCGGUCAAGUCAAUCAACUGUCGAAUUGCGGAACUGGGAACUCACAGGAAGGAAACGGCAGGUAGAGUCACGUAGCAGGGAUAGGAGUAGCCGCGACAACGAUCAGCAGUAGCGACUGCUUAUCGCAUUCACGCCAGCCCGAGCCGGGAAUCAACAGAUCGGAGAGCUGUCCGGCCGUCAUCCGCCCAACUUAAGCAGCAGCAGCAGCGGAGCCAACGCAUUCCGGAACUCUUGCUUCCUUGCAGCCGAGCGGAAAAUCGAUAAAUUUUCAAUUGAAGAAGUGUUUGCGUAUUCUCAUCAGCCUCUGUCAAAAUAAUUGUUUGAAAUUGAAAUAUUAUUUAAAGAAAAAGUGACAAUAAAAUUAAAGCCGCUGCAAGAGACGGCGUUGAGGUGUUUCAAA
rnacentral:lncRNA from 1 species